GAAGGGCCUGCGGGGCGGGCGGCGGCGGCGGCGGCCUCCGCGCCGCGCGGAGCUUCACCCACUUCAAGGCCCUCGUCGUGCGCGCUUUUAAGCUCGGCGGGCCCGGGCAGGAUGUUUAUACUGCGCAAUGUAAACACGGGCUCGGGGGUGCUUUAAUAAAAAGAAAUCGGCGAAAACUCCUGCUGCCUCUCGAAAUGCCCUUUUCUGCCUCCGCUGCCUCCGCGGGCUCUGGCCCCCUCGCCUGCUCUUAGGCUUCUCCGGGGCUGGGUUUUUUUUUGGGGGGGGGGUAUAUAAAUCUGUGCUGAACGGUUGCAGUUGAAUGGCAGGAGCGCGAUGCUCGGCUCCGUCGGUGCCACGGGCACACGCACACCCGAGGGGUGGGGGGAAGGAGAAGAGGGAGGCACAGUCAUCUGACCCCCUUUCCUCCCCCCUUCCCCCCCCCCCAAAAAAAUCCCUUUUGAGCAUCUUGCCAUCAGGAGAGCUGUCACUCACUCGUCAAGCAGCACCGCGCUGCCCGGCGGAGGGGUUGGCGGGGCGAGGAAGCCGGCAGAGCCUGGAAGAAAACGGCCCCAACCCAGCCCGUGCUGCGGGGACAGCCAUUUAUUUCAUCCAAUAAGACUAUCCAUCACGGUACGCUGGAACCGACCUACGAGCCGAGGAUAUUCUUAGAUACGCAGCAUGUCAGGAAACGGCUAGCAGCCCCGCAUGAUGCAAAUAUUUGGAUGACCGAGAGAUAGGUUUAAGACUGUUUGUCCUCCUUGUGCUGAAGCAAUGAAAGAAACUAUCAGUGGCUGUGGACCAGAUUAUUAAUAUUACCUCUUUUGGCUUGUUUAAAAAAUAAGGAGAGAACUUCGUGUUCUUCUCAGGAGCAGAGAUUGCGUAACAAAAUAUAUGGGAAAAAAAAGUUUCUGGCCAGCAGCACAGGCUCUCACAGCCCCCCGUUCACCGGGAGACAUCAUGCACAGAGGCUUUAACUGUGCAAGAGCUGUGCGUGCAGGCAGAAGAAAGACAUGCCCUACCACGCUGCAGGACUGAGCAGGACAGGCUGGAGACAGGACAACCCUCACUUCAUCAGUGAGUGCUUAGAAAGUGAACUUCAAAAGCAAACUUAGAAAUUCGGCUUAGAAACACAAAUUUUCACUUUGAGUGAGUGGCCAGGGCAGCCCUCCCUGGCCCCAGGUGACAGAGAUGGGCCAUAGUGCAAAUCAGCUGGCGUGCAGAAGGGGAAGGGAACCAGCCCACACCUCAUCUUUACUCAGGUUUUCCCCUGUUUUGUCUGUAGGGCAUGCUGAGGACUGGAGCACAAGCUCAGCUUGCUUUAGACAACACCCCAGUACAGCUGUACUGGAGGAACUGAAGGUUUCCCAGUUCUUCGGGCCCUGUAGCUCCCACCUGCCCAAGAUUUCCUCACCCCACUGAGCCCAGUGAGAAGCAGUAGGUCCUAGCAAGUUGCUUUAUGGUUCAGAUGUCAUGGACCAUCACGUGCAAGAUCAACCUGGCUAAAUUUUAGUAAGUCUAGUGCAUCUGCAAUGCCCCAGGGCACCCUGCCUGUGCACCUGUAUGGAAGUGCUCACCUCUCGUGCACCCUCCUACCUCGCAGGAUGGAGACCUGGCUGCCCACCUCCACCAUCAGCCUGUCCCCCCAUUGGUGUGGGGCUCUGCCCCCUAACCCUGCCCCUCAUGCACAGUGAUACAAGGAACCAGCAGCACCAAGGAUGGAUCUGCUCCUGGGACGAUGCCACCCAACCCCGCCGGCCUCUCUGGAGGAACGAGGAGACACUACCUGCCACCUCACCAACCUGCUCCGUCCCGGGAACGGUCGCAGAAUGUGUUUCCCACUGGGCUAAUUAUUGCUAAUUGUGCCACUUUGCUAUCUCACCAGCCUCACCCUGCAUAGGGCUGAUAGGGAUAUCAGUGAGAUAAGGAGCAUGCAGAUAGCCCAGGUAACUGGUCAAUGCUGUCGAACUGGUGGGGUGAACUGCUCUCUGGAGGGGUUUUAUCUCUUGCCGCUGACUGUCAAGAGCUCCUGAGGCACCAACCUCCUAAGGACGAUACUGCUGUACCAAGGCUAGGCAGAGUGGAGCUGGUCAUGCUCCUUGGAGCCCUUUAGAAGAGUAUUAGCGAUUUUGGUGACUUGGUAUUUGCAAGCAAUAAAGAAAUAAGCUGGCAUUCAUUUCAGAGUAAUUCUUUGAAAUUUGCUUAACAUGCAGUUUAUUCUUUUGAGUUGUUUUUUGUUGUUGCUAAUUUAGCACUAUGGAAAUGAAGGUUUCACCCUUUCUCCCUUCUUCCCCCCCACAGAGAAAUAAAUUCUGUUUUUUCAUCAAA